rnacentral:lncRNA from 1 species
CAUACUCACAUAUAACUGUUUUUGCUUUAUAGUGAAGAGCUCAGAAAAGAAGCAAGACAAUUAAAGCGAGAACUCUUAGCAGCAAAACAAAAAAAAGUAGAAAAUGCAUCAAAAGCAGAGAAAAAAAAUGAAGGUAAGGCCAUUUAUCAGGCUUAUAUUUUCUCUUGUAACUCCUCCCAUUUUGCUUAACUUUUUCCUUCCUCUCUAUUCUUCUGCCUUCCUCCUUUUCCUUCUUUCCUCCCUCCUUCUUGUGGUGGUGUUGUUUCCCAGAUACAUGCUUUGGACAGUUAGCUAAUAAAAUAAAUUUCCACUGAGGACAUUUUUCUGAGAAGUAAAUUAAAUGUAAAUAUGAUAUUAACUAUUGCUCUUAAGUAGGCCUAAUGAGAAUUUGAGAGUACUUAAAAUCAAGCAAAACUUCCUGUUGCUAUAGCAUGUAACUGGAGUAAAAAUGCACAGAAAUGGGAUGCUCAUUUUUUAAAU